CCAGUUGAAGCCAAAUGUUGAGGUACUUAGCUGUUAACUAAGAAUUAGGGGGAUAAAUACCCUCCAGUUUAG
rnacentral:tRNA from 1 species